rnacentral:ncRNA from 1 species
CUUAUUCAGGUACCGCUUACAAUAGGCGGUUUAAUAGGGAAUCUACUGAAAUUGUAGAACGAACCUGUCACCGUGAAGACGCACUUGUUUAGUGCCCGCUCUGCACGCCGGUAUUCCGCCGGCAGUCACUGUCCUUAAUGGGAUGGGAAGGCGCAGAGCGUCGCGAUUAAUCGCGAUAAGUCCAAGUCGGGAGACCUGCCUGAAUU